rnacentral:lncRNA from 1 species
CAUUUUCUAUUACUUUGUGUUAGGAAGACCAUGUAAUGGUGCUGAUGUGCUACCAGAUUUGGUUGGGGCUUUGAAGCUUUUGUCUCAAAAGCAAUAACGCUCUGUAGACCUAUAUGAACUUGCACAAUCCACCGAAAUUGUUGUUGAGGAACUUGCCCUGCACCAGGCUCUUAACAAUCUAAUUGAGGGCGUUUUGUUGAUUUCCAGAGAUGCCCCAGCACAUUGUGCUCUUGGAAUAAUCAAUGACAAUGGGCUUGAUAUGUCAAGUCUUUUGUUACUUAUUUUUUGUUGAUCAAAACUUUGGUAUAAUAAUAUAGUGGUGUAUUUUAUUUAACAUUCUAGACUUAGGAUUGUUACUGCUCUUGGUUGCGGUUGUGUAGGCAUGGUUAGAUUUGUGAUGGGUAACAUUCUUACCUUUUUUAAGAUGUUCUUGUAAUGAACAUUUAAUGGCAGAUUAAUAUAGUUUCGAAAUAGUCAUGUCAAAUUUUUUUUAUUCAUAUUAUUGCAAUAUAUGAUUAUAAUGUUGCCUUAGAGGUUACUUUUGCUUUUGUAAAUAAUUUAAAUUUGUUGCCAGAAGUCCUAUAUGGCAAUGUUUAAUUAAAGAAAAAGUGUUGCAAUUAUUGUUGCAAUAAAAGAACAAACAACAUGACUUAAAUAUCAUUGCUAUAGAAGAAAAGUUGUUGCAAUAUGUGGCUCUGGCAAUAAUUUGAACUUGUUGCAAUACAUGUGUUAAUUCAUUGCGUAAAGGGCCCUAUGGCAACGGGGGCAAAGUUAACAGUCGAUUUUUUGAAAAUCAUUGCAAUAGACGCUAUUGCAAUGAUUUUUUUUAUAAUAUAACAACUAUUUUCAGGGGUUGCUAAAUGCAAUCUAUGGUAUGGUGUAUGAUUUACAGGUUACAUCCGCUCCUGAUUCAUCUACAGAAUCUCAGCAAUUGUCCACUAAAAUGGAGGCCAUGCAGAAUCAAUUAAACACUCUUUUGCAGUCUCUUUGAUAAGGUGCCAACUUCUGAUGUUUCUUCCUCUAAUUCAUCUACUCAAUUCAGCCUUGCUACUCACAAUGCAGGUACAAACUAUUCUUUAUCUGCGGCACUUCAUACUUCAACCUCUGCUUGGGUGCUCGAUACGGGUGCUAUGAACCAUAUGUGUUGUAGCCUCACUUGUAUGCAUGAUGUGUAGUUGUUAGACAUCCCACUCUCUGUCAAGUUCCCAAAUGGGUCAACUAUCUUGGUCAUAUAUACAUACAGGGUCUAUUUAUCUCUACACAUUGUCAUCACUUGUCACAGACGUAUUACACAUUCUGUCUUUUACUUCCAUUCUACUUUCAAUUAGUCAUCUUUCGGCUCAAAAAAAACAGUACCAUUUUGUACUCUACUUCUUCCACUUGUUAUCUGCAAGAUCAAUACCAGACAAAGGCAUUGGUUUUUGGUAACAAGAUUGAUGGCUUAUAGCAGCUUCUCAACAACAUUCCACACUCUACAUUCAGUGAUCUCAUCAGUUAUCUCACACUUUUUGGCACAAACGACUCAUCCAUGUUCCAAUUAAUGUUUUGUCCAAAAUACAAGCUUUAGAUUGUUCUACUGAACAACUGAAUUGGACUACUUGUCCUUUAGCUAAACAAUGUCUUUUACUAAUAAUCAGUCUCAUGUGUUGACUCCUUUUAAACUUUUCCAUUGAGUCUUACUUCAAAUAUCUCCCGCGUUAAUGUUACAGGUUAGUAUUCCUCCCUUUAUAUGUUCUCGCUUCUACUUACCUCAUUAAUCGUAUCUCGACCUCUGUCUUAAAGUUUGUGUCACCUUUUGAAAAACCUUUACAACAAGACUCCAAAAACUCUUAUCUCAAUUAAGAUUUUUGACUGCAAGCACACAUGAGUGUACAUUUUACAGAUAAAUUUUUUUCACGUGGAUUACCAACUGUUUUUCUGGGUGACUCCAUGACACAAAUGUUAUAAACUAUUUGACCUUCUCACCAUCCAGUUUCACAUAUUUCAUCAUGUCAUUGUGAAUAAAGAUCUCUUCCCUUUUGCUGCUACCUCCAAGCACUUUGACCCACCAUUUUCCACUCGUCCCACCUAUGCUGAUGAUGCAUAUCUUCAGUUCCAGUCACACCUCCUUUUGUCAAUGACCCCAUUGACACUUUUUCAGAGUCAUCCAUAUCACAAUCACAUACUACACCACCUACUACCGCUUUUUCUCCAACUUCAUCAACUACUUCUCCAACACAACUUCCAUCUCCUCUGGAAGAUUAUAUCACUCCAAAUCAGCCUUUCCAUCCUGCUACACAGUCUUCUUUGCAAGCAAACACCAUUCUUUUAACAUAUCCUAGAUGCUGACAAAUACAAAUACUUUUAACUAUCUGUCUGGAAAUAUGACUUCCAGGGGAAACAAUAUUUCCUGGUUUUUUGCCAUCCAUGUCAGAGAUGAAUACCUGUAACAUCAUAAUACUGAAGAUGUCACCAGACUACAAAUUACGCAUAUGUAUAGAAAUAUAUAAAUCUAAGAAUACAGGAUAUCUAAUUUAGUCCAUAUCAUGAACCUAGUCAUAAAAAGAAAUAUUGUGAAGAGAUAGGCUAUAUUUCUUCUUAUCCUUAAUAAAAAACUUGAAAAAGUGAGAAAGCAAUAUUUAAACAGGGGAUUUAAUAAAUCACAUCAUACAAACAAAUAUGAAGUUUGAGAUCAAUGUUAUAAUUCACAUAUGAUUUGAUGAUGAAUCAAGGGAAAAGAUGAUAUAUAGUUAAAUUAAAAGUCUUGCACUUAUAGUCAGCUCAAACUAGUAGCUUAUUAAUGUUACGAUCACUGUUUCUUCUGUUCUUGUUCUUGAUGUUCUUGAUGUUCUCAUGUUUUCUCUGUCAUUGUGAUUGUGUUUUAAUCGGGACUGAUUUCAUUUGUUAGGAUUUGUACUUCACUUAAACGUCUUAUGCUAACAUUGUCCUACAUAAUCUCUCUGAUAUGGCUAAUCUCUCACCAAACAAAAACAACACUGCUUGUAUCAACACACACUCUGCUGAUAACACAUCCACAAUCUAUUCUAACUCUAUUGAAAACAAUUCACAUCCACUAUAUCUUCCUUAUAAUGAUCAUCCCGAAUUGACUUGAUUUCCAAGAAAUUAGUAGGAUCUGAGAAUUAUGCUUCUUGGAAAUGUUAAAUGCAAAUCGCCUUGUCCGCUAAAGAUAAGCUUGUCAGUGUCACUGGUGAGUUUCCUUUCCUAAUUGACACAUAUCCUUUACGUUCUCCAUGGAAACGCGUCAAUGAUAUUGUAAUUACCAGGAUCCUGAACACCAUCUCGGACGUUAUCAGUAACAGAAUGCAUAUUAUAGAUAGUGCUUAUGCUAUCUAGAAUGAACUCAGUGAAUAGUUAAUUUCUGCAGUUAGUAGUCACAAAUUUUUUGAAACUCAGGCUGUUCUUUUCAAGCUCGAGGUAGUGAAUGACUGAGUUGAGGUUUAAUUUAACAAAAGCAAAAGAUUUUGAGAUGAACUUCAAGCUUUGUAACCUCCUGUUAAGUGCACAUGUGCUUCUUCUAGAGAUAGGGCUAUGCUGCUUGAGAGGACUUGUUUAACUCAGUUAAUCAUAGGUUUUCAUUCAAGCUACACGACAGCUCGUGGUCAGCUACUCCCGAUAAAUCAUUGGUCAUCUAUUAAUCAGGCUUUUAUGUUCCUCUAGCAAGAAAAAAAAAACAGUUUCAGUCUCAUAAUUCUGCUCCAACACCAUCUUUAAUUUGGCAAUGAUGGUCACCUUGCCAGAACAAUCAUCAACAACUUCGGUCUAAAUCCCAAACAGAUCGAGUGAUAGAAUCGCUGCAAUUGUCCUCUAAAAUGGAGGCCUUGCAGAAUCAAUUUAACACUCAGUCUCUUUGAUAAGGUUCUGGCACAACUUCUGAUGUUUCUUCCUCUAAUCCAUCUACUCAAUUUAGCCUUGCUGCUCACUUUGCAGGUACAACCUAUUCUUUAUCCUCGACUGUUCACACCUCCUUUUAUCAAUGACCCCAUUGACAAUUCUCAGAGUCACGGUGACUCACAAUCACAUACCACACCACCUACUGCCACUUUUUCUUCUACUUCAUCAACUACUUCUCCAACACAACUUCCAUCUCCUCCUUUACAAACAAAUGGAUGAAAGAUUAUAUCCCUUGAAAUCAGCCUUUCCAUCCUGCUACCCAGUCUUCUUUGCAAGCAGAAACCAUUCUUUUAACAUGUCCUAUUGAUGCUGACAAAUUCAAAUUUUCUCAUUACUCCCCUCCUCCAUCUGUUUUUGUUUGUGUUGUCAGCAAACAAAACAACUAUUUAUAAGCCAUUUACUUAAGAUGAAGCCAUUGUUGAUCCUUGUAUGGGUUGAUGCCAUGAACAAACAUUUGAGUGCUUUAUAACAAAAUAACACUUGGAAGGUUGUUCCACCACCUCCUAGCAAAAAGAUUAUGGGAUACAAAUGGUUCUCCAAAGUUGGAACACCGGAAAUUGCAUUCUAAGGGUAUUAUUUGCUGGAAAAAUAUUUAAAAAAAUCUGUUUUGAAAAGAGAAACGGUCAAGGAUAAAUUCCCCCCAAAAAAGGACGUGUAAAAGGGGAUCAAUAGAAUAUUAUAUAAUUUGUUUUACGCAAAUAAACAUAAAUAUAUUAAUUUUCAUCUUCAAAUUAAUCUCAACUAUAAUUUUUUAAGGUUGCCUACUUUUUUUAAUAGAGACACGCAAAUGGAAUAAUAUAUAAGGAGUUUAAAGAGUUAUUUGAUAUUCAAUAUAGUGUUUGAAUUCAUUAACAACUAAUAAAAGCGCAUAUUGUGAGACAUCUAACACUCAUCAAAUAUUCAUACAUCAACAUUAAAAUAAUCGGAUGAAACAAAAAAUCUGAACCAUAUUUAACAUGAUUAAACAUGAAAAUAAAAGAUUUGAAAAGAAUUUAAGACAUUGAUUAUUACUGGUGUCAUGUAAAUAUAUUUGUAUUUAUUUUUAUAUGAAAAAUUUUAAGGAUAUAAUACAUGGAUGCACUCAUCUAUUUUGUACAAUUGGUUACUCAGACAUGUGUCUAACAUCAUAACACACUAGUCUCAUCCUUAUUUUCUUACUCAUAAGCGCCUUGUAACCAUAUAACCCCUAAAAGAUUGAAGUUGAAGUAAAUUUGGUAAACCACAUUUGCAAGUUUUUCGACCUAUGAUCUAAACACAUUUUUCUGAACAUGGAAGAACCAAAAUAGGAGAUCGAGCAAAAAAUAAUUAAGACAUACUCAUAAUAAAAUUUUAAAAUUUAUAUGAUAAAUCAUCAGUAUUCGUCGGUCAAAAGGGAUGAUUUGUCAUAUUUCAACAUGCUAAAAAAGUAAAAGACAUAUCACAACAUAUAUCACUGAAUAAAAUAAGUUUAAAAAUCAUUUGAUCUCUUAGUUCAUUUACAAGAGUAUAGAUCUGGAGUAAAACAUACUAAAUUCACAUGAAUGAGUAAAUUAAUCCGAAUAUCAAAGAUAUGGUAGAUAGAAAUCACCUGAUUUAUUGGAGUAAUUAAGAUAAUAUGAGUUGAACGAUACUUUGGUCCUCCGACGCUCAACGAAUCUUAUGAAACAACAUGGAUUAGGCAUCUCAAUGAGAUGCCUAAUGUAUGCAUACAAAAUUAACAUAUAUGUGUGUGUAGGUUUGUGUCUAGAUAGAUACUGUCAAGUAAUUGAAUGUAGCGGCCGAUUGAUGAGAUUGAAGAGUUUGAUAUUUUACGUCGGCUGUCUGCGGCCGCUAGACUAAUUACGAUUAUCUUCUUCUUAUAUAUAAUGAUUAUUGUUAUUGAAUUAACGGGCCUAUUAUUUUUCAAAAGGCCCUAUCGUUAACAUAUAACGGCAAUUGGGAGUCAAAAUGUAUGGACAAGAAAAGCCCAAUUGAUCCAAUUCAAUGAAAAUUGUUUCUCCUACAAACAAAUAGUACUAAGCUAAAUUGAUAUUUUAUUUUUUCAAUAACAUGACCAUAAGUUAAAGAACUGACUUCUUCCUUAGUAAUUUCAAGUGCAGAGUGAAGUGCCACUACAAGAAACGGGCCUGUCAGUGAUCAAUAUUAUUAGCGAUCGCAAGACUGUCACUAAAUCUGAACAUCAACGCUAUCCACGAUGACAAAUAUCGUUAUCGCUAAUACCCCAAUAGCAAAGAACUGCCAUCGCUAAUUCGUCACACUGUAAUAUUUUUUAAAAAAAAAUGGAGAGAAAAUUGGCGCCUAAGUUUUCUAGCGUACCCCUUAGUUGCGACCAAACCUUGUUGCUAAAAGUGCCAUAUCACCCUAGUAUUAGCGACUGCACGUGGUUGUUAAAAGUCGUCGCUAUAAUCCCCUCCCCCCGCAAAAAAAGAGAAGAUUUUGUCGCACCACAUCUGCGACCAGAAAUAUUAACGACCAAAUGUAAUUUUUAGUUUUUUAUAUUUCUUUCAAUACAGAGGCUUUUUUUAUCAGUUAUAUCUUAAUAAAAAUUAUUUUUUUUAUUUUAUAUUAUCGGUUAAUGAAUUUUUGAUUUAUUUAUAUUAUUUUCUUUUUAUUAAAUAAAAGAUAUAUAGAAUUUAGAUAUUAUAAAAAUAUUAUAAAUUUAUUAGUCUUUAUAGAAAUGGUUAAAAUUUUCAGGUUAGUAACAGUUUGAAAUAUAAGCCUCAUCUUCUGUCCUCUACUUAAAUAUUGAAUCUUUAAAAUUCAAACUCAUUCUGUUGAUGGCUUAGAUAAUUUUGUUGAUUUUCUUGAGCCGUAUUGUGGAUUUUAUAAUUAUAUUCGAACUUUGAUAAAGUUGAUUUUGGAAGUAUUUUACAAUGAAAAAGAAAAAAAUAUAAAGUUAAUAACAAAGAUUUUGAAUAUUGUGGUUAGAGGCCACUGUUGAGGCUUAUUAGAUGUCUAUUAGGAGCCCCAAUUUUGUACCAGGGAUGAGUUUAUGUUCUGGGACAAAGUCUUUAAGUAGCUGACCAUCUGUAUUAUCCAAUUAAUUAUGAAAAUACUUUGAGAAAAAUAUUAUUCUUAUAAGGCAAAUAAGUUUUAAAAAUGUUAAGUUGGAAAUUUUCACAGAAAGGUUCGAUUUAAAAGUUUUUGAUAAUUGAUCACACCCUGAAUUUGUGUGACUAUUCUAGAGCCCGUGGUGGUUACAAUUAGUUCUUUCUUAAGUUGUUGUAUCUUACUCCCUGUCGGUCAUUAUAAGUCACUCUUUCAUUAUUUUAGUAAACUGAAAAUUACAUCUUAAAGUAGAAUAAAAGUUUUUUUACGAUGACAUAUUUUUUUUUUAAUUUUUUCAAUUGAUAAAAUAUUACUAAAUUUCAGUCAAACUUUGGUCAAUUUGACCAGUACAAAACCAAAUAUAACAACUAAAAAGGGACGAGAGAGUAUAUAAAUAUUUGGUUAUUAAUUAUGCUUCUUGUCAACGUUUUUAGCUAAUAACCUAGAUUAAGUUCAUAAUAUAAUAUCAUAAUAGGUAGUCAAGUUCUAUGGAGUACAAAAAAUAUUAGAGUAUUGGAGUACAAGAUUCAUACAAUAUAAUCUAGUCAUUUAAAUCUUCAUUUUUUUUUGUUAUACAAUAUUUGUAAACAUCCGACAACGUAAAGAUUAUGUUCUACAACAUAAACAUUGUAAUCAAAAUAUAGAACAAUUACUUUUAUAAAUCGUAGGACAUUAUGUUCUGCAAUAUAACUUAUAAGCAGAACAACAAUCUUAAUGCUUGUUAAAGUUGAAAUAUAUUAAUGAUUAAUUGAUAAUUAUGUUUAAUACUACUUAUAAAUGAUAAAUUAUAUAUAAAUUUGAAUAAUCAAAGAUAUUAUUUAUGAUUAAACUAAAAAAUUAUGAUUUGUACUCCAAUACUCCAAUGUUUUUAUGUACUCCAUAGAACUUAACUCUCAUAAUAGGUAUGCAAUCCUCAUAUUUGAGUUUUCAACUUUAUUUCUUUUAUUAAUAUUGAUAUUCAGGUUUUUCAAUGUUCUAAAAAUGUUGGGGUCACAUCUUAACCUCGUAGUGGUCAUAAUUAACAUCAUUCUAAUUUAGAAAAAGUAAUUAAAAAAUUAUAUAGAUAUAAUUAUAGUAUUUUUCAUAUUUCUUAUCUUAAUAUGAUAUUAUAUAAUAUGUAGAAAAGUUCUUUUCAUUUUAAUUUAUUUGAACUUGAAAAUUUUUCAAAUAUUUAAUUUUAUAAUUGGUGUUGAGUUUUCUAAUUUAUGCAAUGAAAAAUUAAUAUAAUGACACAUAUUAUAUUCAUAUGAUUUAUAAUUUUUGGUAAUAGGAAAGUCUUACAUAGUAAUAACUUAUAGAUAGUAAUACUAGUUUUCAACAUUGUAUUAGACAUCUUUAAAUAAUAAUAUUAAUUUAAAUUAUAUGAAUAAUUAUAACUAAAUUAUUAAAUCUAAUAAACGACUUAACCACAACAGGUGGGUAUAGAUAAAUCAUCUCAUGCUUGUUUAAACUUUUGAAUUUUUGGACUGUAAUUGCUAAAAUUUCAAAAUGUUGCAUUGUCUUUCAACAUGCAAAGACAAAUAUCCUCAGUUUUACAACCAAAAAGGCAAUCGAUGACAUCAAGGUCAUCUAACAUCACAAUUGUAUAUAAUCUUACUAGUGAGAUAUAAAGCAAGACUUGUAGCUAAGUACACGUACAGAAAUAUGGGAUUGAUUUUGAGGAGGUAUUUGCCCCUUGACACGAAUGGAAACCGUACGACUACUGCUUGCACUUGCUGCUAAGAAUGGAUGGGAGGUCCAUCAUAUGGAUGUAAAGUCACUUUCUUAAAUUCAGGAGGAAGUAUAUGUGCAACAACCUGAAGGUUUUGAGAAAAAAGGUGAAGAACAUAAGGUCUAUAGGUUACUUAAGGCAUUAUAUGGUUUACGCCAAGCGCCUCGAGCUUGGUAUACUCGACUGAGAAAAUGCCUUGAAAGCCUUGGGUUCGAAAAAUGUCCAUAUGAGCAUGCUGUUUAUAUGAAACGAGAAGGAAAUGAGUUCUUGAUUGUGGGUGUUUAUGUUGAUGAUUUGCUCGUGACUGGCACAAGCGUUGAGAAUAUCGUAAAGUUCAAAAAACAGAUGUGUUGUGAAUUUGAGAUGUCUGACUUAGGUAAGCUGUCUUACUACCUAGGUAUCGAGGUUGAGCAAGGGCAUGACUAUAUUGAGUUGAAACAAACAGCUUAUGCCAAGAAAAUACUUGAAAAGGCAGGUGUGAAUGCAACCCAAUUAAGUGUCCAAUGGAGUCAAGAGUACAGCUCGACAAAGAUGAACAUGGAAAAGGAGUAGACUCGACCAAGUAUAAAAGUAUGGUGGGAGGUCUGAGACUCUGAGGUACUUGGUUCAUACAAGACCAGACAUUUCUUAUGCUGUUGGUAUAGUGAGUCGAUUUAUGGAGCGACCUACUAUUAUACAUCAGGGAGCAGUUAAGAGAAUUUUGCGGUAUGUGAAAGGAACGUUGGAGUAUGGCAUUGUGUAUAAGCGAGGAACUGGGGACUAUCUAUUGGCUGGGUAUUCUGACAGUGAUUUAGCUGGAAGCCGGGAUGAUAGGAGGAGCACAGGAGGAGUUACAUUUUACUUGAACGAGAGCUUGGUUACAUGGAUUUCACAGAAGCAAAGAUGCGUAGCUCUUUCGACUUGUGAGGCUGAGUUUAUGGCAGUAACAGCUGCAGCAUGCCAAGAUAUUUGGUUAAAAAAUCUGUUAACUCAAAUUUCUGAUGAGAAGAUUGGUCCGGUUGUGACUUAUAUUGAUAAUAUAUCAGCUAUUGAUUUGGCGAGAAAUCCUGUGUUUCACGGUCGUAGCAAGCAUAUUGGGAUACGGUAUCAUUUUAUUCGACAGUGCGUGGAACGGGGUGAAAUUGUGGUGCAGUAGCAUGUCUGUUCAGAGGAGCAAAGAGCUGAUAUAUUAACCAAGGCAGUGUCGUCAACAAGGUUUGAAAAGUUAAGAGAGCUGCUGAGGGUCAAGAAGCUGGGAACCUGAUGUUUAGAUUAAGGGGGAGUUUGUUGGGUUUUAUUUUAAUCUAAACAUGUUUUAAUAAAUUAGUGGAGUCUGUUGUUUUGUUUUAAUGAGCGGUUAGAGUAAGUAGUGGACUAGUGGUUAGUAGGAAGUUAAUAUAUGUGUAGUUCCUGGUUUCUUGCCAUCACUCAAGUGUGCAAGUAUAUCAUUUGUAUUUUCUUUCAGUUUCUAGUUAUCACGUAAUGCAAGUUUUCUGUUUUCUUAUCUUACAAGGUUUGACAGAGGUCACAAGUUCAACUUUGAUACGGAUAUAAAGGAAUUAAUUGACCAAAAGAUGAGUGCUGUGUGAUCCACUCUUCAAUUCAAAAAAAAGAAGUUCGAGUUAGGGGAGCGUUGAAAUAUAUCAUAAGAUCUAUUUGUGGUCUUUCUCUAAUACCUUAAAAUUUUAGAUGGACUGAAUCUCACACAUAGCCUCGGUGUCAAAAUUAAAACUUGGAAACUAUGCCCCUGAAUACUGAAAUCUAAUUCUACUACUUUUCAUAAUAGCAUAAGAUCCAUAUAUACCUUCCUCUUACACUUAAAGGUGUUAGAUGGACUGUUUAUCAACACAUAACCUCACCUCACUGUUAUUUUAUGACAAGAACAAAAUUACAACCAGAAACUAUAUAAGGGCUCAAAUUCCGAAAUCUAAUUCUAUUGUUUCUCAUAAUAGCAGCAAAAAAAAAAACUAACACUUUAAGAUUAUAGAUAAGCCAAUUCUCAACAUGUAGCCUUAGUGUUACUUUUAUAAUGAGCACAAAAUGACAACUUGGAAAUUCUACCCCUCGAUCUGAAAUCUAAUUCUAGUGGUUUCCAUAAUAGCAUAAGAUCUCUUUGCACCUGUCUCUAACAUUUUAAGGUUUUAGAUGGACUGUUUAUCAACACGUAGCCUCAGUGUUAUUUUUAUGAUCAGAACAAAAUUACAAACCUUACAACCAGAAACUAAUUAAGCGUCCAAAUUCUGAAAUCUAAUUCUAUUGUUUCUCAUAAUAGCAGCAGAAAAAUAAUUUAAGAUAACACUUUAAGAUUAUAGAUGAGCCAAUUCUCAACAUGUAGCCUUAGUGUUUCUUUAUAAUGAGAACAAAAUUACAACUUGGAAACUCUGCCCCUCGGAUUCUGAAAUCUAAUUCUACUGGUUUCCAAAAUAGCAUAAUUAAGAUCUAUUUGCACCUGUCUCUAACAUUUUAAGAUUUUAGAUGGACUGUUUAUCAACACGUAGCCUCAGUGUUAUUUCAUGACAAGAACAAAAUUACAACCAGAAACGAAGCUCCCAAAUUCUGAAAUCUAAUUCUAUUGUUUCUGGCCCAUAAAAGCCGUAGAAAAAUAAUCUCAAAUAAUUAGCUAAAGGCAUUUGCUCCUCAGAGUCAUGUAUUAAUUAACAAAAUGCAGACACUCAUUGAUUAAACUUCUCAUGCAUUAAUAAACUUCUAGAUUUUUGACUGAAAGUAAUUGCCGAAAUUUCAGAAAGUUUGCAACGUCAUUCAACAUGGUCAUCAAAAGCUAGAAUAACAAAUAACAUCAGUUUUGCACAGUAACAGGGACUGAAAUCCAAGACCUCUAACAUAAUUCAUUGAUAAGAUCUUACACUAUUGUGAUGAACAACAUCACUAAGUUUCCAAAACUUGAUUAUAACUAACUUAGUUGUUUCCUGCAGUUCCCUAGCUCGCUGAUUAGGAUCUACAAAUAGAACACAAAUUCUUCAGCAGAACUUCACACAAAUAAUUGCAGGAUGCAAAGUUUCUUAAUAAUCUAAUUGACAUGCAUCUUAAAUGUUUAUAAUUUACAAAUAUACAGAUUAAGCUCGAUUUUUUCCUGCACAUAUUUAACAUUAAUUUCCAAGAAUAUGAAGAAAGUUGUGCAUUGUGGAACUUUGUGUCUCUUUAAUGAAUUCAAUCAUAUAAGUCCAUAAGAGUAAAAGAGAUUACCAUUUUUCGGAUGCUUGUUUACGCCUCUUCCUGAUGCAUAUACCAGUGCCUUCUGCUUCUUCUGUGUCCGAGUCCUCAACCACAUUCACAGGCUGAAAUGUUGUGGUGCUUUGAAGAGUUAAUGGCAUAUCAUUCGAAGGCUCUUCAGGCGGUACUUUCUCCUUCACUACAGGACCUUGUGAUGGCGGAGAUUGUCCUGAAGGUGCUACAGGUACUAAGGCAAGAGCCAGUGCACCUGCUACACUAUUAGCUUCGCCAACAGGCUUUGUCGUCUGAUAAAUAUCAGUCAUCAGCCUAGUCUUCCGUUUUCUUCCACGCAUCUGACGUUUUGGUUUGCUUCCAGUACUGGAUGCAAGUGGAUAUGAAAUGAAACAUGUUAAAAAAUUUCAAACUUGAGGAUCAAUGGAAUUGAAAAAUGCAGGACACUCAUAUUUCUAAUGAACUUUUGGAUGAAAAUAUAAUAAAACCCUUUAAGGAAAGCUUCAGCUACUGCAACCUCAGAUUUUUAUUUUUUUUUUAAUUUUCAAAUAGAAGUUCGAUUGUAUUUAUUUUUACCAAAUGUGUAAUGUGACAAGAGUUUCAGAAUAAGUAAUCAGGUAUAUGUAUUAUAUCCUUAAUGUUUCUUUCGCUUUUAGCAUUUUCCAGCUCUUAGUACCAGAUGGAGAAAAUAAAUUAAAAAAAUAGAAGUUCACCUCAAAUUAAAUCCAGCUCCAAUGUUUCUUUCAUUUGCCUUUUUCUUAGAUUCUUCCACCUGAGAUUUCCUUCUUUCCUUCUUAUCAGCAUUGUCCUUUAAUAAAUUUUCGAGUUCCCUUGAGGUAUUCCUGCACACAAGUAUUGUUUUUCAUAUUUCAUCGACAUCCUCUCUCAGUGUUUCAAUUAGUUAAUUAAAGAUCAUGAAGCAAUGUGAGCACGCGCCAAGUGACUGCAGAUGCACAAUUAACUGAUAGUUGGAGAAAAGACAGCAAAAUGUUUAAGUUUAAAGGUCACCUUUUUGGUAGAUUGUUGCGAUGGUUUCCACCAACUUGCUGUAUUUUAUAACAGCUGAAAUCAAUGUAGAUGCUGUUGAUCCUCGUGGGUGCAACUAUCGGUCUGGAAAUACGACUUCCAGGGGAAACAAUAUUUCCUGGUUUUUUGCGAUCCAUGUCAGAGAUGAAUACCUGUAACAUCAUAAUACCGAAGAUGUCACCAGACUACACAUUACGCAUAUAUAUAGAAAUAUAUAAAUCUAAGAAUACAGGAUAUCUAAUUUAGUCCAUAGCAUGAACCUUCUCAUGAAAAGAAAUAUUGUGAAGAGAUAGACUAUAUUUCUUCUUAUCCUUAAUAAAUAACUUGAAAAAGUGAGCAAACAAUAUUUAGACAGGGGAUUUAAUAAAUCACAUCAUACAAACGAAUAUGAAGUUUGAGAUCAAUGUUAUAAUCAACAUAUGAUUUGAUGAUAGAAGUCUUGCACUUAUAGUCAGCUCAAACUAGUAGCUUAUUAAUGUUACAAUUGUUUCUUUUGUUCUUGUUCUUGAUGCUCAUUUGUUAGGAUUUGCUAACAUUGUCCUGCAUAAUCUCUCUGAUAUGGCUAAUCUAUCACCAAACAAAAACAACACUGCUUGUAUCAACACACACUCUGCUGAUAACACAUCCACAAUCUAUUCUCACUCUAUUGAAAACAAUUCACAUCCGCUAUAUCUUCAUUAUAAUGAUCAUCCUGAAUUGAUCUUGAUUUCCAAGAAAUUAGUAGGAUCUGAGAAUUAUGCUUCUUGAAAAUGUUCAAUGCAAAUCGCCUUGUUUGCUAAAGAUAAGCUUGUCAUUGUCGCUGGUGAGUUUCCUUUCCUAGUUGACACAUCUCCUUUACGUGCUCCAUGGAAAUGCGUCAAUGAUAUUGUAAUUACCAAGAUCUUGAACACGGUCUCGGAUGAUAUCAGUAACAGUAUGCAUUUUAUUGAUAGUGCUUAUGAUAUCUAGAAUGAACUCGGUGAAUAAUUUUCUGCAGUUGGUAGUCACAAAUUUUAUGAAACAGCGAGUUCUUUUCAAGAUCGAGCUAGGAAAUGACUGAGUUGAGGUUUACUUUCACAAAUUCAAAAGAUUUUAAGAUGAACUUCAAGCUUUGUAACCUCCUGUUAAGUGCACAUGUGCUUCUUCUAGAGAUUGGGCGAUGCAGCUUGAGAGGACUCGUUUAACUCAGUUCUCAUAGGUCUUCAUUCAAGCCACUCGGCAGUUCGUGGUCAGCAACACGAUGAAUCACGAUGAAUUUUAUGUUCCUCAAGCAAGAAAAAAAACAGUUUCAGUCUCAUGAUUCUGCUCCAACACCAUCUUUGGCAAUGAUGGUCACCUUGCCAAAGACCUUGCCUACCAAUUCAAGAUUAUUCUCAUUGUCAUCUUAAAAGGCAUAAAGUCAAAUGCUAUAAGCUUAUUGGCUAUCCCCUCGAUCAUCCAUACCUUCCAAAUAUAUAAUAAAGGAAAGGAGAAAUUUACUUCUAACAGAUUUGCUAAUUCUUCUGCCAAAUCAUAUGAUUUACAGGUUACAUCUGCUCCUGAUUCAUCUACAGAAUCUCAGCAAUUGUCCCCUAAAAUGGAGGCCUUGCAGAAACGAUUUAACACUCAGUCUCUUUGAUAAGGUUCUGGCACAACUUCUCAUGUGUCUUCCUCUAAUCAAUCUACUCAAUUCAGCCUUGCUACGCACAUCGCAGGUACAACCUAUUCUUUAUCCUUGAUUGUUCACACCUCCUUUUUAUCAAUGACCCCAUUGACACUUUUCAGAGUCUCCCAUAUCACAAUCACAUACUACACCACCUACUACCACUUUUUCUCCUACUUCAGCAACUACUUCUCCAACACAACUUUCAUCGCCUCCUUUACAAACAAAUGGAUGAAAGAUUAUAUCACUCCAAAUCAGCUUUUCCAUCCUGCUACCCGGUCUUCUUUGCAAGCAAACACCUUUCGAUUAACAUGUCCUAUUGAUGCUGACAAAUACAAAUUUUCUCAUUACCCCCUCCUACAUCUGUUUUGGUUUGUGUUGUCAGCAAACAAACAACUAUUCAUAAUCCAUUUACUUAUAAUGAAGCAAUUGUUGAUCCUUGUUGGGUCGACACCAUGAAAAAAGAAUUGAGUGUUUAAGGAAACAAAAAACACUUGGCAGGUUGUUCCAUUACCUCCUGGCAAAAAGAUUAUGGAAUACAAAUUGUUCUCCAAAGUUCUGUAUAUUAAAGUGAAUUGUGUGUAUAUCAGUCGAACACCGGAAAUUGCAUUCUAAGGGUAUUAUUUGCUCGAAAAAUAUUAAAAAAUAUGUUUUGAAAAGGGAAAUGGUCAAGGAUAAAUUCCCCUCCCCCGAAAAAAAGAACGUGUAAAAGGGAAUGGAUAGAAUAAUACAUAAUUUGUUUUAUGCAAAUAAACAUAAAUAUAUUUAUUUGCAUCUUCAAAGUACCAUAAUCUCAACUAACAAUUUUUAAGGUUGUCUACUUUUUUCAAUAUGGACAUGCAAAAGGACCACAUGGGAUAAUAUAUAAGGAGUUUAAAGAGUUAUUUGAUAUCCAAUAUAUUAGUGUUUGAAUUCAUUAACAAGUAAUAAAAUCGCAUAUUGUGAGACACCUAACACUCAUCAAAUAUUCAUACAUCAACAUUAAAAUAAUCGGAUGAAACAGAAAAGCUGAACCAUAUUUAACAUGAUUAAACAUGAAAAUUUGAAAAGAAUUUAAGGCAUCGAUUAUUACAGGUGUCAUGUAAAUAAAUUGAUAUUUAUUUUUAUAUGAAAAGUUUUAAGGAUAUAAUACAUGGAUGCACUCAUCUAUUUUGUACAAAUGGUUACUCGACAUGUGUCUAACAUCAUAACACAAUAGUCUCAUCCUUAUUUUCUUACUCAUAAGCCUUGUAACCAUAUAACCCCUAAAAGAUUGAAGUUGGAGUAAAUUUGGUAAACGACAUUUGCAAGUUUUUCUAUGUAUGAUUUAAACACAUGUUUUUGAACAGGGAAGAACCAAAAUAGAUGAUGAGAUGGAGCAAAAAGUAAUUAAUAUAUAAUCAUAAUAAAAUUUUAAAAUUGAUACGAUAAAUCAUCAGUAUUCGUCGGUCAAAAGGGAUGAUUUGUCAUAUUUCAACAUACCAGAAAAGUAAAAGACAUAUCACAACGUAUGUCACUAAGUAAAAUAACUUUAAAAAUCAUUUGAUCUCUUAGUUCAUGUACAAGAGUAUAGAUCUGGAGUAAAACAUACUAAAUUCACAUAAAUGAGUAAAUUAAUCCGAAUAUCAAAGAUAUGGUAGAUAGAAAUCACCUGAUUUGAUGGAGUAAUUAAGACGAAAUGAGUUGAACGAUACCUUGGUCCUCCAACGCUCAACGAAUCUUUUGAAACAACAUAGAUUAGGCAUCUCAUACAAAAUUAACAUAUAUGUGUGUGUCUAGAUAGAUAUAUCAGAUGUAUAUUCAAUGAUAUACUACUAAUAGAAAGAUAAAUACCUCUGAAUGCAAACCAGAUUGUUUAAUCGCGUGUCAAGUAAUUGAAUGUAGCCGCCGAUUGAUGAGAUUGAAGAUUUUGAUAUUUUAGGUCGGCUGUCUGCGGCCGCUGGACUAAUUACGAUUAUCUUAUUCUUAUAUAUAAUGAUUAAGAUUAUUGUUAUUGAAUUAAUGGGCCUAUCUUUUUUCAAAAGGCCCUAUAGUUAACAUAUAACCGGGAGUCAAUAUGUAAGGACAAGAAAAGCCCAAUUGAUCGAAUUCAAUGAAAAUUGUUUCUCCUACAAAAAAAUAGUACUAAGCUAAAUAGAUGUUCCAUUUUUUCAAUAAACAUGACCAUAAGUUAAAGAACUGACUUCCUCCUGAGUAAUUUCAUGUGCAGAGUGAAGAGCCACUACAAGAAACGGGCCUAUCAGCGGCCAAUAUUAUCAGCGAUCGCAAGGCUGUCGCUAAAUCUGAACGUCAGCGCUAUCCAAGAUGACAAAUAUCGUUAUCGCUAACCCCAAUAGCAAUGGACUGCCAUCGCUAAUUUGUCACACUGUAAUAUUUUCUCAAAAAAAAUGGAGAGAAAAUUGGCGCCAAGUCUUUUGGCGACCACCCCUUAGUUGCGACCAAACCUUUUUGCUAAAAGUGCCAUAUCACCGUAGUAUUAGCGACGGCACGUGGUUGUUAAAAGUCGUCGAGGUAAUCCCCUCCCCACGCAAAAAAGAGAAGAUUUUGUCGCACCACAAUUGCGACCAUGAAUAUUAGCGACCAAAUGUCAUACCAGAAAACUCCACGUCAUCAAUUAGCUAGAGAAAUCAGUUAAAAGGUGAUUGCAGAUGUAAUUUUUCGUUUUUUUUAUUUCUUUCGAUAUAGACGCUUUUUUUUAUCAGUUAUAUCUUAAUAAAAAAUAUUACUUUUAUUUUAUAUUACCGGUUAAUGAAUUUUUGAUUUAUUUUUAUUAUUUUCAUUUUAGUAAAUAAAAGAUAUAUAGAAUUUAGAUAUUAUAAAAAUAUUAUAAAUUUCUUAGUCUUUAUAGAGAUGGUUAAAGUUUUAAGGUUAGUAAGUUUGAAAUAUAAGCCUCAUCUUCUGUCCUCUACUUAAAUAUUGAAUCUGAAAAAUUCAAAUUCAUUCUGUUGAUGGCUAAGAUAACUUUGUUGAUUUUCUUGAGCCAGUAUUGUGGAUUUUAUAAUUAUAUUUAGACUUUGAUAAAAUUGGUUCUGGAAGUAUUUUAGAAUGAAAAAGAAAGAAUGUAAAGUUAAUAACAAAGAUUUUGAAUAAUGUGGUUAGAGGCCAGACUGUAGAAGCCAAUUAGAUGUCUAUUAGGAGCCCCAAUUUUGUACCAGGGAAGACUUUAUGAUUAUGGAAAUGCAUUGUAUGAUUAAAUACUUUCAGAAAUAUAUUAUUCUAAGGCAAAUAAGUUUUAAAAAUGUUAAGUUGGAAAAUUUCACAUAAACGUUGGAUUUAAAAGUAUUUGAUAAUUGAUCACACUCUGAAUUUGUGUAUCUUGAAAAUAUUCUAUUCAUUAUUGUUUCGACUAUUCUAGAGCCCGUGGUGGUUAGAAUUAGUUCUUUUUUAAGUUGUUGUAUCUUACAUAAAUAUUUGGUUUUUAAUUAUGCUUCUUGUCAACACUACAACAAAAACACCAUCAGACAACACUAAUCCGCAGGGUAAAAAAAGCGUUGUUGGGAAAAAAGACACAACACUUUCUUUUCGUUCUCGAAAAACUAUUGUCUAACACCUACGAACUACGACGGUUAAAAAAACUGUUGUCUAGUAAAUUCAAUCAGACAACAGUAUCUUAACUGUGGUAUUGUGUAAUGAUGUAUGUAAGACAACUGUUUUCAGAGCCUAUGUGUGAAGAAACUUCAGACAAUAGUUCAAGAAAUCGUUGUUGUAAUUAGACAAGUGUUUUAUUUUUUUUGUUGUUUACGAGCAUUUCAAACAAGGGUUUUAUAUAGUGUUGUGUGACUGGAAAGCUAACAUACAAGUGUUUUUGUUAGCAUCGUAACAUGGCCUUAUAGACAAGCCUUCAACAAAUAAAAUUUUGCAUGACUGAAUGACUUUUAAGAAACAUACAAUAGUAUGUUCUUAUAAAUGUGUUGUUAAUAGACUUUAAAGACAAACCUUGUUUUGUUUAGCGUUAUGUAAAUGUUUAUGAAACAAGCCUUUUUUGACAAAAACGCUUGUCUGAUUGGCCAUCAUGGAAAAAAAAUAGCAGAAAAACAGAGCAAACCAGCCUGAAAACAGAGGCACACCAACAAAUCUAACAAAUCUGACUGAAAAUAGAGCCAACCAACAGGGAUAAAAACAAGGAAACUAACUUACAUCAUAAAAAUUAGUUUAGUUCAUCACGAAACUAAGAAUCAAAUUAAAUUACAUCAUGAAAGUUGAAUUAGUUCAAAUACAUCUGGCAUGUAACUAGUCGUGUCCUCGUCUAAAUCAACAUCCAGGAAAUUCGUCACAAAGCACUCAUUCUCAAUUAGUUCUACUUCCACGGAUCCCUCAUUUUCUUCAUCAUUGUCCUCAUAAUAGUUUUUCUCGGGUAAUUUCAACACCACGCACCAUAGUUUAUCAAGAGGAUCAUCUAUGUAACAUACUUGCUUAACGUGUUUCGCUAACAAAAAUGGAUCAUUAAAAAACCCCAACUUAUUCAAAUUAACCAAUGUAUAACCCAAGUCAUCUACCUUUGUCCCUUUGUUCAUAUCAAUCCAACUACAACGAGAAAUGGGGAUCCUAAAGCUGUUGUAGUCUAACUCCCAUAUACCUUUAUAACUCCAUAAAAUGUAGGUGAGGCAUGCUCAACAAUUUGAUCCUCACCCUGCACAACCAUGGUAUCAGCUUGUACACACACGCCACUGCAUUUAACAUUACGUUUAUCAUCACGAUCUUUGGUGCUAAAGGUAAUCCCAUCCAUUUUGUAACCAUUGUAUGUAGGGACAUCCUUAUUGGGCCCAUCUGCGAUCCAUCUUAUUUCUUGUGAUAUCUCCUUUUCGUCGAGCAAAUCUGAAGCAAUCUGCCAAGGAUAGCAUAGGAGUUAUAAAAUGACUUAUGUGACAGUAAAAAUGAACAAAAAUGUUAUAAAGUGCACAUAAUACCUUCGCUCUAAACCAUUCUGGGAAUAGACCAUUUUGCUUAUUCUUUAGCCACAUUUCAUUAUUUUCAUUUGUCGGAUAUUUAGUCAUAAAAACUGACAUGUGUUCACUGCAUACAAUUAAAACAGACUAUGUAAAUAAUAACACAAUGAUGUAUAAUAUGAGGAUUAAGAAGAAAAUCAAGAAAUGACUUACUUAAAAUAUGGCCUAACCGCAACCGUAUUUUGUAAAACACAUAAAUGGGCUAAAUGCAAAUCAUUGUCGCUCGGAGUUAUAACUGAUGCACCAGAUAAUGGCCUACAAAGGGCAUCCUUCCUAUGCCUAACAUUUUUUGGUAACCCAACAGUCGCUUCCUCAUGGUUCACCAAACACUCAACAGCUUCUUCUGCAACAUAGGCUUCAGCAAUGCAACCUUCUGCACGAGCCCGAUUCCUUAUAUAUCUUUUAAAUGUCUUCUUAUAUCUCUCAAAAGGAUACAUUCAUCUAAGAAAAAUUGAUCAACAAAGCUCUAUUUCUCGUACAAGAUGGACCGAGAGAUGAAACAUAAUAUCAAACAAGAAAGGGGAGAAGUAUUUUUCAAGUUGGCACAAAGUUUCCACCAGCUGGGAUUGCAUUUUCUCCAACUUAUCAACCUCAAUAACUUUACUGCAAAUUGCCUUAAAAAAAGACAGAAAGGCAUAUUUGAUAUAACAGAUCAGUUUUCUAUUGAUACUGUUGCAUUUUUAAAUUCUUAAAACUAACAUUCACGAUGAAUCAUUGGUCGUCUAUCAAUCAGGCUUUUAUGUUCCUCAAGCCAAAUAAAAAACAAUUUCAGUCUCAUGAUUUAGAUUUGUGUUUAAUUGAGUUUGUACAUGUUUCUAAUUGAAUUUGUUCAAGCGUUUAAUUGAUUAUAUGUUGUUAAUUUGGUAUUAGGUUUGUUCAAUUAAGGGUUUAUGUUCUUAAUUAGGUCUUGGUUUUGUUUAAUUAAGAGUUCAUAAUUUGGGGGUUUUGNCAAAUCAUAUCACUACACCAUAGAUUGGAUAUAGCAACCACUCAAAAGAAAAUUUCCUCAAAAUCGUUGCGAUUGAAAAAAUAAAAUCAGUAUAUUGCAAUGCCGAAAAAAUUAAAAUUUCGUUAUAAAUUUCAGAAUGAAUAGUCUAUUGCAAUGUUAUUAAUAUCAUUACAAUAGUUGUUAUUUUUUUGGCCACAAAAAUUGGCGGGCCAGUGAAAUUUUAAGAGCGGGAUCAAUAAAAUAUUUUUGCCGGAUUAAUCAAAACAAAGCAGAUUGAGAAAAAAGAAGACUCAUAAAUAGUCGACUAAAAGCGGGCAACGGAGAGAGAGAAAACAGGAGGCGAUAGAGANAGAAGAGCAUAUUAUUAUGUAGUUUAAUUAUUGCAUGUGUUAGUUAGUUCAUGUAGUUCACGUUUAUUUUAUUUUGCUUUGAUUAUUUCUCACGUUUUCUUUCUAUUUUUCUCAAAUUUUUUUUCUCAAUUUUUUUAUUUUUAUUUUUACAUGUUUAGUGGUAAUUGUCGUAGUUAGUAUCACGAGCAUUUGCAUGAAUUAUGAAGUUAAGCCAAGCUAAUUGCCUAUGAUGAGUUAUGUGCGUAGUUCUUGAUUAGGUUAAUUCAGGGGUUUAAUUUAUGGCCUAAGUAAUGGAGUAAUUACUCACCCAUGUAGUAGUUUCAAUUGCAAUGCUAGGUUAGUACUUGGAAAUUGCUUGAUGCUCUGAUUAUCUACUUUGCGUUCCAUUAGCCUGUUGUCGUGCAAAUGGUAAGAUAUAUAUAGGUGGUCCUCUUGAUAUAUUUUUUUGAUGAUUCAUUUUGAUAUAUUGUCUGAUGAUUAGAAAUUGGCUUUCAUUUUUCUUUGGUAUUUAAGGGCAUUGCAGUAUUUGAUGGCCUUAUUUGUUUGAUUUUUGUGGACAAAAAAAAGAAAUGGAAAAUGUUACGUAACAGGGGUGCCUAAUGUUGUAUCAUUCUUUUAGGGAGGAACUCCACCUAUACUGGAUGGAAAUUAAUCAAGUGGAAGCAGAUAGAAGAUCUCCUUGGAUUACUGGCACUAGGGACCCUACAUGAACAUCACUUUUACCAGGAACUCCCCGUUAUGACUUCCAGAUAUACCCACCUCAUCCCCAACCAGUAAUAUACCCACUCCUUCACAGUAACUUUUAGUUGGACUUGAGUGACGGGCAAGCUCUCUCUUGGAACAUCUGAUAUUCCAAUAAAGCUAAUGAAUAUUUUCUUAGUUCUUAUAAUUCUUAUAUCGUGUCAUUUCAACAAAAUAACUGUGAUACUUAUGUACUAGAUCACCCAUGGCUUCGAGAGGGUGGCGAAGCAUUGGACAAGUCAGCAAACAGUGCGGUUCUUUCUAGGAUGAGGCAGUUCAGAGCUAUGAACAAGCUCAAGAAGCUUGCACUCAAGGUCCUAUUUCGUGUUAAUUCAGUUAAAUAAAUCUGCUACAAAUCCUUUUUGAAACGAAUAAAGGACUUGCUCACUCAAGUUUUAUAUUUGAACUAGAGGUCAUUGCUGAAAAUUUAUCCGCAGAGGAAACUCAAGACUUAAGCAUACGUUUACUAACAUGGACACAGACAAUUUCCUUUCCCAACAUGUCAGGCUGAUGUCGAUAGUAACGGGACAAUCGAUUACAUGGAAUUUAUAGCUGCGAUGAUACAUCGAUACACACUGGAGAGGGAUGAACAUCUCUACAAGGCAUUCGAGCAUUUUGACACAGACAACAGUGGGUAAGUAAAUCUAUGCAAAUUGCCAGUUACAUCUGAUUCAUCUUGUAUUGUUCUCCCCAGUCCAUACCUGUUUUUUUUUCCUGCCUUUAUAAUGAAUCAGCUGAUUCUUUUGUUGAAAUGUAAUGUGUUGGAAUGGGUGAUGCAGAUACCAUUAAAGAAAUAUUGUCUGAAGUUGACUCAGAUAAUGUAUGUUGUUCUUUUCAGUUCCAACUCUAUUAUGCAUAGUUGAUCUGAAUCUCGAUUUAAUAAUCAUGCUUAUGUUGCUGACUCGGCUGUUAGGGGCUGCAAGAUCGGUUCAGUUUGACUCGAUUUUAGCUGAAAUUGUUAUUAAUUAAAUCAUCUUAUAACCGUAACCGAAUCACUACAAACAAGAUUUUUCAAUCCGGUUAUUGUUUGUCGACUACCGAUUUUGCCUAAUUAUAAAUUAUAUUAUAAACUAGAUAAUAAUGACAUUUUAAAAAUAGAAUAAGAAAUAAUUGAAAUUCCUUGUAUGAUAUUAAUUUUCUUAUUUUGAAAUUGGUAAUGGGUUACAAUUUGCGGCUUGUAAAAACAGAAGCACUGUGGACAUUAUCCCUCACUUUAGAUACUAAAAUAUUUCAAUUAAUUUUGAUUUCUCGCGGAUGUGCUACCAGAUUUGGUUGGGGCUUUGAAGCUUUUGUCUCAAAAGCAAUAACGUUCUGUAGACCUAUAUGAACUUGCACAAUCCACCGAAAUUGUUGUUGAGGAACUUGCUCUGCACCAGGCUCUUAACAAUCUAAUUGAGGGCGUUUUGUUGAUUUCCAGAGAUGCCCCAGCACAUUGUGCUCUUGGAAUAAUCAAUGACAAUGGGCCUGAUAUGUCAAGUCUUUUGUUACUUAUUUUUUGUUGAUCAAAACUUUGGUAUAAUAAUAUAGUGGUGUAUUUUAUUUAACAUUCUAGACUUAGGAUUGUUACUGCUCUUGGUUGCGGUUGUGUAGGCAUGGUUAGAUUUGUGAUGGGUAACAUUCUUACCUUUUUUAAGAUGUUCUUGUAAUGAACAUUUAAUGGCAGAUUAAUAUAGUUUCGAAAUAGUCAUGUCAAA